rnacentral:rRNA from 1 species
GAGUUUGAUCAUGGCUCAGGAUGAACGCUGGCGGCGUGCUUAACACAUGCAAGUCGAACGAACCUUCGGGUUAGUGGCGGACGGGUGAGUAACGCGUGAGAAUCUGCCCUCAGGAGGGGGAUAACAGCUGGAAACGGCUGCUAAUACCCCAUAUGCCGCGAGGUGAAAUGAAUUUCGCCUGAGGAUGAGCUCGCGUCUGAUUAGCUAGUUGGUGUAGGUAAUGGCUCACCAAGGCAUCGAUCAGUAGCUGGUCUGAGAGGAUGAUCAGCCACACUGGGACUGAGACACGGCCCAGACUCCUACGGGGGGCAGCAGUGGGGAAUUUUCCGCGAUGGGCGAAAGCCUGACGGAGCAACGCCGCGUGAGGGAUGAAGGCCUCUGGGCUGUAAACCUCUUUUAUCAAGGAAGAAGAUCUGACGGUACUUGAUGAAUAAGCCACGGCUAAUUCCGUGCCAGCAGCCGCGGUAAUACGGGAGUGGCAAGCGUUAUCCGGAAUUAUUGGGCGUAAAGCGUCCGCAGGCGGCCCUUCAAGUCUGCUGUUAAAAAGUGGAGCUUAACUCCAUCAUGGCAGUGGAAACUGAGGGGCUUGAGUGUGGUAGGGGCAGAGGGAAUUCCCGGUGUAGCGGUGAAAUGCGUAGAUAUCGGGAAGAACACCAGUGGCGAAGGCGCUCUGCUGGGCCAUCACUGACGCUCAUGGACGAAAGCCAGGGGAGCGAAAGGGAUUAGAUACCCCUGUAGUCCUGGCCGUAAACGAUGAACACUAGGUGUCGGGGGAAUCGACCCCCUCGGUGUCGUAGCCAACGCGUUAAGUGUUCCGCCUGGGAAGUACGCACGCAAGUGUGAAACUCAAAGGAAUUGACGGGGGCCCGCACAAGCGGUGGAGUAUGUGGUUUAAUUCGAUGCAACGCGAAGAACCUUACCAGGGUUUGACAUCCUGCGAAUCUCUUGGAAACGAGAGAGUGCCUUCGGGAGCGCAGUGACAGGUGGUGCAUGGCUGUCGUCAGCUCGUGUCGUGAGAUGUUGGGUUAAGUCCCGCAACGAGCGCAACCCACGUCUUUAGUUGCCAGCAUUUAGUUGGGCACUCUAGAGAGACCGCCGGUGAUAAACCGGAGGAAGGUGUGGAUGACGUCAAGUCAUCAUGCCCCUUACAUCCUGGGCUACACACGUACUACAAUGCUACGGACAAAGGGCAGCAAGUUCGCGAGGACAAGCAAAUCCCAUAAACCGUGGCUCAGUUCAGAUCGUAGGCUGCAACUCGCCUACGUGAAGGAGGAAUCGCUAGUAAUCGCAGGUCAGCAUACUGCGGUGAAUACGUUCCCGGGCCUUGUACACACCGCCCGUCACACCAUGGAAGUUGGCCACGCCCGAAGCCGUUACUCCAACCCUUGUGGAGGAGGACGUCGAAGGUGGGGCUGAUGACUGGGGUGAAGUCGUAACAAGGUAACC